AUUUAUAUAGUUUAAUCAUUUAAAAACAUUACACUUUCAUUGUAAAAUUAGAUUCCUAUCUUAUAAAUA
rnacentral:tRNA from 1 species